rnacentral:rRNA from 1 species
CCCUUAGAUGUCCUGGGCUGCACGCGCGCUACACUGAUGUGUCCAGUAAGCACCUAACCUCUUCCGAAAGGAACGGGUAACCUUUGCAAAGCACAUCGUGAUGGGGAUAGAUUAUUGCAAUUAUUAGUCUUGAACGAGGAAUUCCUAGUAAGCACAAGUCAUCAGCUUGUGUUGAUUACGUCCCUGCCCUUUGUACACACCGCCCGUCGCUCCUACCGAUGGGUGAUCCGGUGAAUGAUUCGGACUCGGUUGCCUCUAGCCACUAGUGGCGCUCGAGAAAGUUUUGUGAACCUUAUCACUUGGAGGAAGGAGAAGUCGUAACA